rnacentral:rRNA from 1 species
AACGAACGCUGGCGGCAUGCCUAACACAUGCAAGUCGAACGAGAUCUUCGGGUCUAGUGGCGCACGGGUGCGUAACGCGUGGGAAUCUGCCCUUUGGUUCGGAAUAACAGUUGGAAACGACUGCUAAUACCGGAUGAUGACGAAAGUCCAAAGAUUUAUCGCCAGAGGAUGAGCCCGCGUAGGAUUAGCUAGUUGGUGUGGUAAAGGCGCACCAAGGCGACGAUCCUUAGCUGGUCUGAGAGGAUGAUCAGCCACACUGGGACUGAGACACGGCCCAGACUCCUACGGGAGGCAGCAGUGGGGAAUAUUGGACAAUGGGCGAAAGCCUGAUCCAGCAAUGCCGCGUGAGUGAUGAAGGCCUUAGGGUUGUAAAGCUCUUUUACCCGGGAUGAUAAUGACAGUACCGGGAGAAUAAGCUCCGGCUAACUCCGUGCCAGCAGCCGCCGCGG